CAUCCUUCCGGAAAUCACGAAUGUCCCGUGCCCAGAGCUUCCCUGACAACAGACAGGAAUACUCAGAUCGGGAAACUCAGCUUUAUGACAAAGGGGUCAAAGGUGGAACCUACCCCCGGCGCUACCACGUGUCUGUGCACCACAAGGACUACAGUGAUGAUCUCCCUGAACCAGACUACUUCCUAAUUUCUGCUUUUGUCCUGAUUCUUGGAGUGCUUGGGACAGCAGCCUCUGUGGAAUGAGGCAGGUGGGAGUGCGGACAGGAUGGGCUGGAGCUGGUAUUAUCUAUCACUUCUGGCUGAGACCUGGUUUGUACAUUCCACCUUGUAGCCCGGGGUGUCUCAGACCUGGUUUGUACAUUCCGCCUCGUAGCCCGGGGUGUGACUUGCUCUACUCUGGCCCUUGCACCCUUUCAGGCAGAAGAACAUUUCCCCGAAUACGGCGUCAUCAAGGCAACUUGUUCACCCUGGUGCCCUCCAGCCGCUCCCUGAGCACAAAUGGCGAGAACAUGGGUCUGGCUGUGCAGUACCUGGACCCCCGUGGGCGCCUGCGGAGUGCAGACAGC
rnacentral:sRNA from 1 species